rnacentral:rRNA from 1 species
GAUGAACACUGGCGGCGUGCCUAAUACAUGCAAGUCGAGCGAACAGAUGAGGAGCUUGCUCCUCUGACGUUAGCGGCGGACGGGUGAGUAACACGUGGAUAACCUACCUAUAAGACUGGGAUAACUUCGGGAAACCGGAGCUAAUACCGGAUAAUAUAUUGAACCGCAUGGUUCAAUAGUGAAAGACGGUUUUGCUGUCACUUAUAGAUGGAUCCGCGCCGCAUUAGCUAGUUGGUAAGGUAACGGCUUACCAAGGCAACGAUGCGUAGCCGACCUGAGAGGGUGAUCGGCCACACUGGAACUGAGACACGGUCCAGACUCCUACGGGAGGCAGCAGUAGGGAAUCUUCCGCAAUGGGCGAAAGCCUGACGGAGCAACGCCGCGUGAGUGAUGAAGGUCUUCGGAUCGUAAAACUCUGUUAUUAGGGAAGAACAAAUGUGUAAGUAACUAUGCACGUCUUGACGGUACCUAAUCAGAAAGCCACGGCUAACUACGUG